rnacentral:rRNA from 1 species
CCUACGAGUCGCUGCAGUGGGGAAUAUUGCACAAUGGGGGAAACCCUGAUGCAGCGACGCCGCGUGAGUGAAGAAGUAAUUCGUUAUGUAAAGCUCUAUCAGCAGGGAAGAAAAUGACGGUAACGGAGUAAGAAGCCCCGGCUAACUACGUGCCAGCAGCCGCGGUAAUACGUAGGGGGCAAGCGUUAUCCGGAUUUACUGGGUGUAAGGGGAGCGUAGACGGCAGUGCAAGUCAGGAGUGAAAGGCGGGGGCUCAACCCCCGGACUGCUCUGGAAACUGUACGGCUGGAGUGCAGGAGAGGUAAGUGGAAUUCCUAGUGUAGCGUUGAAAUGCGUAGCUAUUAGGAGGAACACCAGUGGCGAAGGCGGCUUACUGGACUGUAACUGACGUUGAGGCUCGAAAGCGUGGGGAGCAAACAGGAUUAGAUACCCGAGUAGUC